GAGAAUGGCCAGACUACCCUGGAUGUAUCUGAUCUCAGAAGCAAAGCAGAACUGGGUCUAGUUAGUUCUUGAAUGGGAGACUUCCUGGGAGGGAGUAUUUACUCA
rnacentral:rRNA from 1 species